ensembl:lncRNA
GAAGACGUUUCUGACACAAAACCCCAGGGGAAUCCACGGAGGAGCUGGGCUGUCAUUACUUAUUAACGGUGGGCCUGAUCCCCAGCCAGGCUGGCCCAGGGAAAUAGCCUGUAGGGAGGCCGGCCUCGCUGCUACCAGGUGGAUUAACACUUUCAGGGCGGGAGGGAGCUGUUUGGGGGGGGUCAAUUGUCACAUUGUUGCAUGUAAGAGGGGCCAUUCUUUACACAUUAGACACAGGCGCCUUCUUCCUCGGCGUUCCCUCCCCCUCGGCGUCUGCAUUCUUCUCUUCCCUUCUCCUCCUGCCCGCUCUGGUUUUAAGCCAGCAAACCCACAGGAUGUGGGAGACUGCGCUCGCUCACGGGGAAGAGGAAGAUCUGAGAAAGCACACGGCCCGGAACCUGGGGAUGAUGUCUUCGGAGAGGGCCCGAGGAGGCGGGGAGAGGGAGAGGCAGCGGAGCCGCAGCGGGAGCCGGUACAUCCCGGUUGCAGACCGGGAAAGGUUGGAUUCACAAACUGGAGCCUGUUGUCUUGGGGUUGGGGGAAGUUAAAAAAAAAACCUCAGCUCUCCGAAGUGUCCGCAGCAAGGAGGCCUCUGGUGCUGCUUUGGAGCCGCAGUGCAUGGGCACCUCGAACUGCACCGCUACGUGUCCCCACGUUUCCAGCUCAGAGGAAGCUUGGUUAGGGACAGUGUCCAUCCACAAAGAGAUCCUGCACACAGGCGGAUAAUCCACGCAAAACCCCGGUGAGGAGAUUAGAUUAGAUACAUUAGAUCUGAUGGCUUAGAAUGCGGGCUGCCUGCCGAGAAGGCAACCAGGGCUGUGAGUUCCUUUCUCAACUUGGGUUAAAUCUUCUGUCCCUACAGCCUGGCCCUGAGGGUGAAGUCACCGGGAAACGGAGGGUUCUCGGCCAGCAAUAAGGUGCCCACGGGUAUCAGGUAAACCCCGGUGCUCUAAAGCACAACGUUGGUUCUGAGUGUCGUUCGGCCCCUUUAGGGGACAGAGCAUUUUCACUGUCGAUACCUGGUUGGACCUUUAGAGCCGCUGAUAACGUGAGGGUUGCAGGGCAGGCAGCUGCAUCUCCUUAAACUCACCAAUAGCUGCCUCCCUUGUUGCUUGCUGAUGAAAGUCCAGAUUUUUCCUGAUAGUGGAUGGCGGUGUGUUCGUGGAAGGUGGGCUUAGCCCCAGGAGAUGAUUCAUAAUUGCUCUAAGCCAAUCAUGAUAGAAGCAUUACUUCUUUUUUUAAAAAAUUGAGGUGGUAUAGUUGCUUUACAAUGUUGUAUUAGUUUCAGGUGUACAGCAAAGCAAUGCAGUUAUACCUAUAUGUAUUCCUUUUUAGAUUCUUUUCCAUUAUAGUGUAUUAUAAGAUACUGAAUAUAGUUCUCAGGAGGUUCUUGUUUAUCUAUUUUAUACAUAGUAGUGUGUAUCUGUUAAUCCCAACCUCCUAAUUCAUCCCUCCCCCCACCCUUCCCCUUUGGCCUGUGAAUCUAUUUUGUUUCAUAAAUGAGUUCAUUUGUAUCAUAUUUUUAAAUGUCACAUAUAAGUGAUACCAUGAUAUUUGUCUUUCUCUGACUUCACUUAGUAUGAUAAUCUCUAGGGUUCAUCUCUGUUGCUGCAAAUGGCAUUAUUUCAUUCUUUUUAAUGGCUGCGUAAUAUUCCAUGGCGUGUGUGUAUAUGUGUGUGUGU